AGAGAGCACGAGCAGGGCAGACAGAGAGGAGGACAUAGGAUCUGAAGCAGGCUCCGUGAGCACAGAGCCCGAUGUAGGACUCAAACUCACAAGCCGUGAGAUCAUGACCUGAGCUGAAGUCAGAUGCUCAACUGACUGAGUCCCCCGGGUGCCCCAAUUGCUCACACUAUUUCAGGUUUGGCCACUGGGUGCCCUUUCUGUUGGUGCCGGGGCCCCUCUGUGUGUGUGCGCUGGUCCUCCCAGGGGCCCGGCUCCUCCGACUGGAGCAGCCUCCCAAACCCAGAUCUGUGUGCGUGGUGUGCCCGUUGUUAAUUCUGUUCAAGUAGGUUGUAAGGCUGGACAAAUACCUGUUUUCAUUUACCCCCGUCUUUGUCAUUACCCGUCUUCUUCAUGUCUUUGUGUAGCUCUUUAUUUCUACCUUGUAUCAUGUUUUUUUCCAGAAGAACUUUCUUUAGCCCUUCUUAUACUGUGGCUUUUGUUUGUGUGAAAAAGUAUUAUUUCUCUUUGUGACAGAUGUUUUAACUAAGUAGAAUUCUGGAUGGACAGUUUUUUUCUUUCCCUACUAUAAUGAUGUCAUUCCAUUGUCUUUUUGUCCUGCAUAGUUUCUGUGGGAAAUCUGCUGUAAUUCACAUUUUUGUUCCACUUGCUAGAAAUUCGUAGAACCCCCUGGAAUUAGCCAGUGCCAGUGAGAACAUUUAUCGAGUGCUUACUUGGAUUGGGUGCUUUGUUUCCCGUGACUCUGCGUGUGCGUUUCUCCCCAACCCCUUCGACAGGGAGGUGUUGCUGAUGGCAGUAAAGGUUAUAGGAAAGAAGCCGAGGGUUGUGGAGAAGAACAGGUCUGCUCACGGCUGCUUCCAAGAGGCAUGGGGCCUGGCUGCCUGACCCCAGAGCCUGAAUCCUAACCAGAGCACUCCAUUCAGACCAUGCAGAAGCUUGAGGAGCAGACUGAGCUCAUCCGCAUCUGGAUUAUCAUGACUCAGGCAAGCUUACUGUCUGUAUAAAUGUCUGCCAUCUGCCUUCUGAAGGAUGGGAGUCUUUAUGGUCCCCUGAUGGCAACACAGCCCAGGAAGAAGGUAGCCUGCCCCUUUCUACUUGUGUUUCUUUGUGUCCCUAAAUGCUGUGACUGUAUGUGACUGAGCGCUUUCAUCCUGUGACCUGACGAGAGGUCCCCAGCACCUCUGGUGGCCACUGUGGGCUCUGAGGACACUGGGCCCUGGGGUCCUGGACCCUCACCUGUGUGUAUGUGGAGGGCGCGAGCAUGCAGCAUGGUUGGCUGUCUGUCCUCCCCCCCUCCCUACUCCUGGCUCCACACCACUUCCCUGUGGACAUUGGCAGCCUAUGUGCUCCUCAGACACUAACUGCCCUCAUGGUCCUGGUCAGUGCCCCUCCUGUCCUGGUGCGCACGUUCUACUGUGGGGAGGCAGCACCGAGGCCGCAUCACUGAGCCCUCUGAGUGGCCUCCCAGUGAGCUGAGCACCUCAGCCAGGCUCCCUUCUCUCCCCAGAGCUCCAGGGGACCAGCUGUUCCUCUGAAUGGGGACACAGAUGACUUCAUACACUCAGCAGGCGUCUGUGAAAUGUCCUCUGUGUGCUGCAUCCUGGGUGUACAGUGAUGGAUUAGCGUCCUUUGUUGGGGAAGUCUUACCAGCUCUGGGCUCAGAGGCGCUACAUCACCAUGCGGCCACGGCAGAGAGCCUACAGAUCGGGGCCUCUUACCCCAAGAGCACAAGGGCUCCUGCUCCCUCCUGGCAUGCCUGCUUGGAUGUGCACCCCCCCCAGGGCCCCUGGGUCCAAGCCCGGCAACAUCCAAAACAAAGCUCUGCAACAGGAACACCUAGAUCUACUGAUUUCACUAGAUAAAAACUCCCAUGUCAAUCAUGUUAGGAUGUCCCUGAAAGGGGAUGGCCAUCUCGCCAGCUCGCCAGAACGAACUGAAGGUCAACCAAUCACCGAGCAACAGCACAACCUGGCACGAAAGAAAGACCCACCCGAACCUAAACCUGGAACUGCUGCAGCUUAAAAACCCUACCCCACCAUACUCAGGCGUGACUUCCCUGACUCCUCUCACUCCCUGAGUCAUGGAACCUCACCCGGAACCUUAGUUCCCAAUAAAGCCUUAAACUGCAAAAAAUUCUUUUUGACUCUAACUCCUAUCUUUACCCUGCCCAACGCCUGACACUAACAUUUGGUGUUGAAACCUGGGAGAGGUGGUAGCUCUCCUCCCUCGGCUGAACUCCCCCCUCCUCACCAAGCCAGAUGCCAACCACCCUACUCUCAAGAGCCUACAGGAGCUGGUAAGUAGGACAUACCCCUCUUUCCCCCCUCCAACUAUGGCUGACACCCACGAGAGACGUCUUGCAAGUCAGUCUCCUCUCCCCCGCACGCCGUAAGGCCUGUACGCCAAAAGGCCCGCAUGCCAAUAGGCCCCU